UACAGGGGAUGCAAGUGUUAUCCGGAAUUAUUGGGCGUAAAGCGUCUGUAGGUUGAUAACUAAGUCUUUUGUUAAACCUUCGGGCUCAACCCGAAAUCUGCAAAAGAAACUAUUUAUCUUGAGUAUAGUAGAGGUAAAGGGAAUUUCCAGUGGAGCGGUGAAAUGCGUAGAGAUUGGAAAGAACACCAACAGCGAAGGCACUUUACUGGGCUAUUACUGACACUGAGAGACGAAAGCUAGGGUAGCGAAAAGG
rnacentral:rRNA from 1 species